UACGUAGGGGGCAAGCGUUGUCCGGAAUCAUUGGGCGUAAAGCGCGUGUAGGCGGCAAUUCAAGUCAUCUGUGAAAUCUCCGGGCUUAACCCGGAACGGUCAGGUGAUACUGUUUUGCUAGAGUGCGGAAGGGGCAAUCGGAAUUCUCGGUGUAGCGGUGAAAUGCGUAGAUAUCGAGAGGACCACCAGAGGUGAAGACGGGUUGCUGGGCCGACACUGACGCUGACAGCGCGAAAGCCAGGGGAGCAAACGGG
rnacentral:rRNA from 1 species